rnacentral:misc_RNA from 1 species
GAUGAAGAACGCAGCGAAAUGCGAUACGUAAUGUGAAUUGCAGAAUUCAGUGAAUCAUCGAAUCUUUGAACGCACAUUGCGCCCUCUGGUAUUCCGGGGGGCAUGCCUGUUCGAGCGUCAUUAUAACCACUCAAGCUCUCGCUUGGUAUUGGGGUUCGCGGUUCCGCGGCCCCUAAAAUCAGUGGCGGUGCCUGUCGGCUCUACGCGUAGUAAUACUCCUCGCGUCUGGGUCCGGUAGGUCUACUUGCCAGCAACCCCCAAUUUUUACAGGUUGACCUCGGAUCAGGUAGGGAUACCCGCUGAACUUAAGCAUAUCAAUAAGCGGAGGA